rnacentral:rRNA from 1 species
GAUGAACGCUAGCUACAGGCUUAACACAUGCAAGUCGAGGGGCAGCAUGGUCUUAGCUUGCUAAGGCUGAUGGCGACCGGCGCACGGGUGAGUAACACGUAUCCAACCUGCCGUCUACUCUUGGCCAGCCUUCUGAAAGGAAGAUUAAUCCAGGAUGGCAUCAUGAGUUCACAUGUCCGCAUGAUUAAAGGUAUUUUCCGGUAGACGAUGGGGAUGCGUUCCAUUAGAUAGUAGGCGGGGUAACGGCCCACCUAGUCAACGAUGGAUAGGGGUUCUGAGAGGAAGGUCCCCCACAUUGGAACUGAGACACGGUCCAAACUCCUACGGGAGGCAGCAGUGAGGAAUAUUGGUCAGUGGGCGAUGGCCUGAACCAGCCAAGUAGCGUGAAGGAUGACUGCCCUAUGGGUUGUAAACUUCUUUUAUAAAGGAAUAAAGUCGGGUAUGCAUACCCGUUUGCAUGUACUUUAUGAAUAAGGAUCGGCUAACUCCGUGCCAGCAGCCGCGGUAAUACGGAGGAUCCGAGCGUUAUCCGGAUUUAUUGGGUUUAAAGGGAGCGUAGAUGGAUGUUUAAGUCAGUUGUGAAAGUUUGCGGCUCAACCGUAAAAUUGCAGUUGAUACUGGAUGUCUUGAGUGCAGUUGAGGCAGGCGGAAUUCGUGGUGUAGCGGUGAAAUGCUUAGAUAUCACGAAGAACUCCGAUUGCGAAGGCAGCCUGCUAAGCUGCAACU